UACACACCGCCCGUCACACCAAGGGAGUUGGAUUCACUCGAAGGCGUUGAGCUAACCCGCAAGGGAGGCAGGCGACCACAGUGGGUUUAGCGACUGGGGUG
rnacentral:rRNA from 1 species